rnacentral:rRNA from 10 species
UUUGACCUCGGAUCAGGUAGGAAUACCCGCUGAACU